UACGGGCAUCCGCUCGAGCAAAUUGAAGAUCAACGGGAUGACAAGUGAUACAAGUGAUACAAAUGAUCUCUGGCAGUGCUCAGGGCUUACUCCUGUAAGCCCUGUGCUCAGUGAUCACUCCUGGUAUUACUCACAGGACAUCAUAGGAUGCCAGUGACUGACCCAGGGUCUGCUAUGUGCAAGUUGUUCAGGUAUCCCAAAGAGGAAUAGAAAGAGCUAUGCUAGAAGUAUCACAUCUCACUCAAGUGAGAGAAGGAAUCCGGGGUUCUGACCUCCGUCAACAGUCAAAAAUCAGGCAUAUCAAAAAUCAGAUGGGCCGAACAUGUAAUGCAAUUCAGAGACUACCGCUGGACUAGAGCUGUUAUCGACUGGAUUCCACGGGACGUCAAAAGACUGUGUAGCCGCCCACCAAUGAGAUGGUCAGACUUCUUCGUCAAAACCCUGAAUGAACGGUUUGAGGCUCUUCCUGUUCCUGGAGCGAGUACAUAUCAUUGGGCUACACUAGCAUGCGACAGAGACAACUGGAGACGUUACUGGUGCCCACUCGAGCAAAUCAAAGAUCAACGGGAAGACAAGUGAUACAAGUGAUACAAAGUUGUUCACAAUAGUUCAUUACAGACAAUAUUCAAACACCAAUCCCACCACCUUGCACCUUCCUACCAUCAUAAGAGGAAAGUGUGUGAAGAUUGUUGUAUUUCAUCCUGAGCCAUUUAAGCCUUGUAUAAG